rnacentral:rRNA from 1 species
CUACCUGACCUAGCGGCGGACGGGUGAGUAAUGCUUAGGAAUCUGCCUAUUAGUGGGGGACAACAUUCCGAAAGGAAUGCUAAUACCGCAUACGCCCUACGGGGGAAAGCAGGGGAUCUUCGGACCUUGCGCUAAUAGAUGAGCCUAAGUCAGAUUAGCUAGUUGGUGGGGUAAAGGCCUACCAAGGCGACGAUCUGUAGCGGGUCUGAGAGGAUGAUCCGCCACACUGGGACUGAGACACGGCCCAGACUCCUACGGGAGGCAGCAGUGGGGAAUAUUGGACAAUGGGCGAAAGCCUGAUCCAGCCAUGCCGCGUGUGUGAAGAAGGCCUUUUGGUUGUAAAGCACUUUAAGCGAGGAGGAGGCUACUUGGAUUAAUACUCUAGGAUAGUGGACGUUACUCGCAGAAUAAGCACCGGCUAACUCUGUGCCAGCAGCCGCGGUAAUACAGAGGGUGCGAGCGUUAAUCGGAUUUACUGGGCGUAAAGCGUGCGUAGGCGGCUUUUUAAGUCGGAUGUGAAAUCCCUGAGCUUAACUUAGGAAUUGCAUUCGAUACUGGGAAGCUAGAGUAUGGGAGAGGAUGGUAGAAUUCCAGGUGUAGCGGUGAAAUGCGUAGAGAUCUGGAGGAAUACCGAUGGCGAAGGCAGCCAUCUGGCCUAAUACUGACGCUGAGGUACGAAAGCAUGGGGAGCAAACAGGAUUAGAUACCCUGGUAGUCCAUGCCGUANACGAUGUCUACUAGCCGUUGGGGCCUUUGAGGCUUUAGUGGCGCAGCUAACGCGAUAAGUAGACCGCCUGGGGAGUACGGUCGCAAGACUAAAACUCAAAUGAAUUGACGGGGGCCCGCACAAGCGGUGGAGCAUGUGGUUUAAUUCGAUGCAACGCGAAGAACCUUACCUGGUCUUGACAUAGUAAGAACUUUCCAGAGAUGGAUUGGUGCCUUCGGGAACUUACAUACAGGUGCUGCAUGGCUGUCGUCAGCUCGUGUCGUGAGAUGUUGGGUUAAGUCCCGCAACGAGCGCAACCCUUUUCCUUAUUUGCCAGCGGGUUAAGCCGGGAACUUUAAGGAUACUGCCAGUGACAAACUGGAGGAAGGCGGGGACGACGUCAAGUCAUCAUGGCCCUUACGACCAGGGCUACACACGUGCUACAAUGGUCGGUACAAAGGGUUGCUACCUAGCGAUAGGAUGCUAAUCUCAAAAAGCCGAUCGUAGUCCGGAUUGGAGUCUGCAACUCGA